rnacentral:rRNA from 1 species
AUGGCAGGGUUCUUCAGCACCUGUGCUGCUUCUGAUCACUAUUGUUUGCAGCUCAGAUCUGGAUCAGCUCACCAUGAACUGAUUAGACCAAACAAGUACAGAAGGACCAUGAUCAGGUGCUGCAGCACAGCAAAGGGGAAGACAAGAAGGGACUACUACCAGGUUCUUGGAGUAGCAACUCAUUCCACACCUCAGGAGAUCAAGGAAGCUUACAGGAAACUCCAGAAGCAACACCAUCCUGAUAUUGCUGGCGACAAGGGCCAUGACCACACGCUGUUGCUGAAUGAGGCGUAUGAGGUGUUGAUGAGGAGUUCAUCCAGGAAAGCUGAUGGAUUUGGCAAGAGCAGAGGCGGCUUUGGGAGCGGUUACACCGGGGAGGGAUACAGUUCUUGGAAUGGGCCUAUCAGGAGCCAGGCUCUCUUUGUGGAUGAGAACAAAUGCAUAGGAUGUAGGGAGUGUGUUCACCAUGCCGGCAAGACGUUUGCCAUGGACGAUGUUCUUGGAAGCGCGCACGUUGAAGUCCAGUUUGGCGACGUGGAGCAGCAGAUCCAGGUGGCUGUGGAGUGCUGCCCUGUGAACUGCAUCCACUGGGUCGGGAGCGAAGAGCUCCCGGUGCUGGAGUUCAUGGCGCGUCCGCAGCCCAAGGAAGGGCACGGCAUGUUCGGCGGCGGGUGGGAGAGGCCCAAGGACGUGUUCGCGGCAGCCAGGAACUUCGCCAAGAAACUCGAGAAGCAGGAGCAGCAAGAUAGUUCCAGGGGCGCCAACGGGGGUGAAGACGUGGAGGCUGAAACGGCAGCUCAGGCCGAAGCGAGACGCCACGCGGGGCAGGAGCUACGGUGGAAGAGUUUGUUCGAUGUUUGGAAUGGGUUGGGAGACUGGAGGAAGUCCGGAACAGACAGGUAG